GAGGGUAUAGCUCAGUGGUAGAGCAUGUGGUUAGCAUACAUGAGGUCCUGGGUUCAAUCCCCGGGACCUCUA
rnacentral:tRNA from 1 species